rnacentral:rRNA from 1 species
ACAACGGAGAGUUUGAUCCUGGCUCAGGAUGAACGCUAGCGGCAGGCCUAAUACAUGCAAGUCGAACGGCAGCGGGUGUAGCAAUACAUGCCGGCGAGUGGCGCACGGGUGCGUAACGCGUAUGCAACCUACCCAUAACAGGGGGAUAGCCCGGAGAAAUUCGGAUUAAUACCCCAUAACAUAUUGAUGUGGCAUCACAUUAUUAUUAAAGCUACAAAGCGGUUAUGGAUGGGCAUGCGUGACAUUAGUUUGUUGGUGAGGUAACGGCUCACCAAGACUACGAUGUCUAGGGGUUCUGAGAGGAUGAUCCCCCACACUGGUACUGAGACACGGACCAGACUCCUACGGGAGGCAGCAGUAAGGAAUAUUGGGCAAUGGAGGCAACUCUGACCCAGCCAUGCCGCGUGAAGGAUGAAGGCCCUAUGGGUUGUAAACUUCUUUUGUAUGGGAAUAAACGCAGUUACGUGUAACUGUUUGAAUGUACCAUAAGAAUAAGCACCGGCUAACUCCGUGCCAGCAGCCGCGGUAAUACGGAGGGUGCAAGCGUUAUCCGGAUUUAUUGGGUUUAAAGGGAGCGUAGGCGGGAUUGUAAGUCAGUGGUGAAAGCCCGUAGCUCAACUACGGAACUGCCAUUGAUACUGCAGACCUAGAGUACACUUGAAGUGGGCGGAAUGUGUCAUGUAGCGGUGAAAUGCUUAGAUAUGACACAGAACACCAAUUGCGAAGGCAGCUCACUAAAUUGUUACUGACGCUGAGGCUCGAUAGCGUGGGGAUCAAACAGGAUUAGAUACCCUGGUAGUCCACGCCGUAAACGAUGAUUACUCGAUGUUGGCGAUACACUGUCAGCGUCUGAGCGAAAGCAUUAAGUAAUCCACCUGGGGAGUACGGUCGCAAGACUGAAACUCAAAGGAAUUGACGGGGGCCCGCACAAGCGGAGGAGCAUGUGGUUUAAUUCGAUGAUACGCGAGGAACCUUACCAGGGCUUGAAAGACAGGAGACCGUUGCGGAAACGUGACUUUUCUUCAGGAACUGCUGUCUAGGUGCUGCAUGGCUGUCGUCAGCUCGUGCCGUGAGGUGUCGGGUUAAGUCCCAUAACGAGCGCAACCCCUAUCUUCAGUUGCCAACAGGUAAUGCUGGGGACUCUGGAGAAACUGCCCGCGCAAGCGGUGAGGAAGGCGGGGAUGACGUCAAGUCAGCACGGCCCUUACGUCCGGGGCUACACACGUGCUACAAUGGUUGGUACAGAGGGCAGCUACACCGCGAGGUGAUGCAAAUCUCCAAAACCAAUCUCAGUUCGGAUCGAAGUCUGCAACUCGACUUCGUGAAGCUGGAUUCGCUAGUAAUCGCGUAUCAGCAAUGACGCGGUGAAUACGUUCCCGGGCCUUGUACACACCGCCCGUCAAGCCAUGGAAGUUGGGGGACCUAAAGUCGGUUGCCGCAAGGCGCUGCCUAGGGUAAAACCAAUAACUGGGGCUAAGUCGUAACAAGGUAGCCGUACCGGAAGGUGCGGCUGGAACACCUCCUUU